GACGAACGCUGGCGGCGUGCUUAACACAUGCAAGUCGAACGGUAAGGCCCUUCGGGGUACACGAGUGGCGAACGGGUGAGUAACACGUGGGUGAUCUGCCCUGCACUUCGGGAUAAGCCUGGGAAACUGGGUCUAAUACCGGAUAGGACCACUGCCUGCAUGGGUGGUGGUGGAAAGCUUUUGCGGUGUGGGAUGGGCCCGCGGCCUAUCAGCUUGUUGGUGGGGUGAUGGCCUACCAAGGCGACGACGGGUAGCCGGCCUGAGAGGGUGACCGGCCAGACUGGGACUGAGAUACGGCCCGGACUCCUACGGGAGGCAGCAGUGGGGAAUAUUGCACAAUGGGCGCAAGCCUGAUGCAGCGACGCCGCGUGAGGGAUGACGGCCUUCGGGUUGUAAACCUCUAUCAGCACCGACGAAGCGCAAGUGACGGUAGGUGCAGAAGAAGGACCGGCCAACUACAUGCCAGCCGCCGCCGUAA
rnacentral:rRNA from 1 species